UGCGUAGGUGGCGAGGUAAGUUUGAUGUGAAAGCUCCGAGCUUAACUCGGAAAUGGCAUUGAAUACUAUCUUGCUAGAGGAUUGAAGAGGGGACUGGAAUUCUCGGUGUAGCAGUGAAAUGCGUAGAUAUCGAGAGGAACACCAGUGGCGAAGGCGAGUCCCUGGGCAAUUCCUGACACUGAGGCACAAAGGACUAGGGGAAGGCAAACA
rnacentral:rRNA from 1 species